UUGUCUAUGCUAAAAGAAUUGGAAUUAAUAACUACAAUUGAAUAUUUUGACAGUAAUAGCAAUUGAAAAUGGUAAGCUUAUAUUUCUUUUAGAAUUAUGUAACGUUUGAGUGUUGAAUGUAGAAUAAGUUAUGCACCAGGGGACAAUAAAUGAGAGAGAACCUUGAGAUUUUCCGUUUUCUUCUUGCAGGGUGGUGGGUUUUACUCUUGAAUAUCAUUCUAAAAAGGAAAUGUGGUUUUUUUAAAUAAUAAUAAUAAUACAAUCAGGUUGUUUUUGAAAUUCAAUUUACAUUGAAUGCUAAAUUACAGUGGAAUGAGGGGAAUUUAUGAGAAAUCGGAAUGAGAGUGGAAUGAAGGGGAAUUUGAGAAACCGAAUGAACUGGGGAAUUAUAGGGGAAUGAGGGAAUUUGUGAGAACUAAUUAUACUAUAUUUAUAAUUUCAGUUAUAAAUUAUGUGUUUAACUCAACAAUCUCUAUGGUUAUAACUAACAAAUCAAAAUAGAAUAGAAUUGAACCUAGCUCUGAACUCGAUCGUGUAUUGUGUUACCGCAUACGAGGUGAUUUUUGAAACUUAUGUUUAUUUAAUUAUUCGAUGAUGACAUUAUUUUUAAGAAUUAAAAUGAUUGAUCUUAUUGAUCAUUGUGAAUUUAUGAAUUGUAUAUUGUCAGCUUCUUUGAGCAUAAUUUAUUGUAUUGAUUGUAUAAGUAUUUUAUAUGCUUUUUUUAAUAUUUAUUUCCCUACAUUUUUAGGUUUUAUUAUCAGAAAACUACACUUUCAUGUUAUGGAUAGUAAGAUAAUUAAUGCAGCAUGCAUGUGAGCAGCUGUAACUGUGAUAGCUACAGGGGUAACUAUUAUUGAAGAAGAAAGAAAUAGAAUUUAUAUACCAAGAGAACCACGUAUAAAUGCAAUUGCUCAACG
rnacentral:lncRNA from 1 species